GUGGGGAAUAUUGGACAAUGGGGGGAACCCUGAUCCAGCCAUGCCGCGUGUGUGAAGAAGGCCUUUUGGUUGUAAAGCACUUUAAGCGAGGAGGAGGCUACCGAGAUUAAUACUCUUGGAUAGUGGACGUUACUCGCAGAAUAAGCACCGGCUAACUCUGUGCCAGCAGCCGCGGUAAUACAGAGGGUGCAAGCGUUAAUCGGAUUUACUGGGCGUAAAGCGCGCGUAGGUGGCCAAUUAAGUCAAAUGUGAAAUCCCCGAGCUUAACUUGGGAAUUGCAGUCGAUACUGGUUGGCUAGAGUAUGGGAGAGGAUGGUAGGAUUCCAGGUGUAGCGGUGAAAUGCGUAGAGAUCUGGAGGAAUACCGAUGGCGAAGGCAGCCAUCUGGCCUAAUACUGACACUGAGGUGCGAAAGCAUGGGGAGCAAACAGGAUUAGAAACCCUAGUAGUCC
rnacentral:rRNA from 1 species